GGGGUUGUGGCUCAGCGGUAGAGCACUUGCCUAGCAUGUAUGAAGCACUGGGUUCGAUCCUCAGCACCACA
rnacentral:tRNA from 1 species